GGCGGCGUAGCUCAGUGGUUAGAGCGGCGGACUCAUAACCCGCAGGUCGGUGGUUCGAAUCCACCCGCCGCUA
rnacentral:tRNA from 2 species